AGCAGCCGCGGUAAUUCCAGCUCCAAUAGCGUAUAUUAAAGUUGUUGCAGUUAAAAAGCUCGUAGUUGAAUUUCGAGAUCAGUACGCUGGUCGUGCCUUCGGUAUGUACUGGUGUCACUGGUUUCUCCCUUCUGAAGAACCGUUAUGUCAUUAAGUUGGUGUGGCGGGGAAUCAGGACUGUUACUUUGAAAAAUUAGAGUGUUUAAAGCAGGCUCGCGCUUGAAUACAUUAGCAUGGAAUAAUGAAAUAGGACGUUUGACCCUAUUUUGUUGGUUUCUAGGAUCGACGUAAUGAUUAAUAGGGAUAGUUGGGGGCAUUAGUAUUCAAUUGUCAGAGGUGAAAUUCUUGGAUUUAUUGAAGACUAACUACUGCGAAAGCAUUUGCCAAGGAUGUUUUCAUUAAUCUAAGAACGAAAGUUAGGGGAUCGAAGACGAUCAGAUACCGUCGUAGUCUUAACCAUAAACUAUGCCGACUAGGAAUCAGACGAUAGUUAAUUUUUAAUGUACUCG
rnacentral:rRNA from 1 species